GCCUGCAUGGUGUAGUGGUUUGAGCACUGGACUAUGAUUCUGGAAACCAGGGUUCGAUUCCCCACUCAACCA
rnacentral:tRNA from 1 species